UGGAUAAUAGUUAAAUUUAACAUUUAAUUUGCAAUUAAAAAAUAUCGGAAUCGAUUUAUCUAA
rnacentral:tRNA from 1 species